GCCGCCGUGGUGGAAUUUGGUAUACACGAUCGACUUAAAAUCGAUUGCCGCAAGGCAUGUCGGUUCAAAUCCGACCGGCGGCA
rnacentral:tRNA from 1 species